CCUACGGGUGGCAGCAGUGGGGAAUAUUGGACAAUGGGCGAAAGCCUGAUCCAGCCAUGCCGCGUGUGUGAAGAAGGCCUUAGGGUUGUAAAGCACUUUCAGUGGGGAAGAAAGCCUUGGGGCUAAUACCCUCGAGGAAGGACAUCACCCACAGAAGAAGCACCGGCUAACUCCGUGCCAGCAGCCGCGGUAAUACGGAGGGUGCGAGCGUUAAUCGGAAUUACUGGGCGUAAAGCGCGCGUAGGCGGUCUGAUAAGCCGGUUGUGAAAGCCCCGGGCUCAACCUGGGAACGGCAUCCGGAACUGUCAGGCUAGAGUGCAGGAGAGGAAGGUAGAAUUCCCGGUGUAGCGGUGAAAUGCGUAGAGAUCGGGAGGAAUACCAGUGGCGACGGCGGCCUUCUGGACUGACACUGACGCUGAGGUGCGAAAGCGUGGGUAGCAAACAGGAUUAGAUACCCCAGUAGUC
rnacentral:rRNA from 1 species